AUUGAACGCUGGCGGAAUGCUUUACACAUGCAAGUCGAACGGUAGAGGGGGCAACCCCUCGAGAGUGGCGAACGGGUGAGUAAUAUAUCGGAACGUGCCCAGUCGUGGGGGAUAACGUAGCGAAAGUUACGCUAAUACCGCAUACGAUCUAAGGAUGAAAGCGGGGGACCGUAAGGCCUCGCGCGAUUGGAGCGGCCGAUAUCAGAUUAGGUAGUUGGUGAGGUAAAGGCUCACCAAGCCAACGAUCUGUAGCUGGUCUGAGAGGACGACCAGCCACACUGGAACUGAGACACGGUCCAGACUCCUACGGGAGGCAGCAGUGGGGAAUUUUGGACAAUGGACGCAAGUCUGAUCCAGCCAUUCCGCGUGCAGGAUGAAGGCCCUCGGGUUGUAAACUGCUUUUGUACGGAACGAAAAGGUCUCUCCUAAUACGAGGGGCUCAUGACGGUACCGUAAGAAUAAGCACCGGCUAACUACGUGCCAGCAGCCGCCGUAA
rnacentral:rRNA from 1 species